rnacentral:rRNA from 1 species
UACGAAGGGGGCUAGCGUUGCUCGGAAUCACUGGGCGUAAAGGGCGCGUAGGCGGCAUCGCAAGUGGAAGGUGAAAUCCCUCGGCUUAACCGAGGAACUGCCCUCCAAACUGCGUUGCUUGAGGCCGGGAGAGGUGAGUGGAAUUCCCAGUGUAGCGGUGAAAUGCGUAGAUAUCAGGAGGAACACCGGUGGCGAAGGCGGGUCUCUGGGCCAAAACUGACGCUGAGGAGCGAAAGCGUGGGGAGCGAACAGG